GGGUUGUGAGGUUAAGCGACUAAGCGUACACGGUGGAUGCCCUGGCAGUCAGAGGCGAUGAAGGACGUGCUAAUCUGCGAUAAGCGUCGGUAAGGUGAUAUGAACCGUUAUAACCGGCGAUUUCCGAAUGGGGAAACCCAGUGUGUUUCGACACACUAUCAUUAACUGAAUCCAUAGGUUAAUGAGGCGAACCGGGGGAACUGAAACAUCUAAGUACCCCGAGGAAAAGAAAUCAACCGAGAUUCCCCCAGUAGCGGCGAGCGAACGGGGAGCAGCCCAGAGCCUGAAUCAGUGUGUGUGUUAGUGGAAGCGUCUGGAAAGGCGCGCGAUACAGGGUGACAGCCCCGUACACAAAAAUGCACAUGCUGUGAGCUCGAUGAGUAGGGCGGGACACGUGGUAUCCUGUCUGAAUAUGGGGGGACCAUCCUCCAAGGCUAAAUACUCCUGACUGACCGAUAGUGAACCAGUACCGUGAGGGAAAGGCGAAAAGAACCCCGGCGAGGGGAGUGAAAAAGAACCUGAAACCGUGUACGUACAAGCAGUGGGAGCACGCUUAGGCGUGUGACUGCGUACCUUUUGUAUAAUGGGUCAGCGACUUAUAUUCUGUAGCAAGGUUAACCGAAUAGGGGAGCCGAAGGGAAACCGAGUCUUAACUGGGCGUUAAGUUGCAGGGUAUAGACCCGAAACCCGGUGAUCUAGCCAUGGGCAGGUUGAAGGUUGGGUAACACUAACUGGAGGACCGAACCGACUAAUGUUGAAAAAUUAGCGGAUGACUUGUGGCUGGGGGUGAAAGGCCAAUCAAACCGGGAGAUAGCUGGUUCUCCCCGAAAGCUAUUUAGGUAGCGCCUCGUGAAUUCAUCUCCGGGGGUAGAGCACUGUUUCGGCAAGGGGGUCAUCCCGACUUACCAACCCGAUGCAAACUGCGAAUACCGGAGAAUGUUAUCACGGGAGACACACGGCGGGUGCUAACGUCCGUCGUGAAGAGGGAAACAACCCAGACCGCCAGCUAAGGUCCCAAAGUCAUGGUUAAGUGGGAAACGAUGUGGGAAGGCCCAGACAGCCAGGAUGUUGGCUUAGAAGCAGCCAUCAUUUAAAGAAAGCGUAAUAGCUCACUGGUCGAGUCGGCCUGCGCGGAAGAUGUAACGGGGCUAAACCAUGCACCGAAGCUGCGGCAGCGACGCUGAUGCGUUGUUGGGUAGGGGAGCGUUCUGUAAGCCUGCGAAGGUGUGCUGUGAGGCAUGCUGGAGGUAUCAGAAGUGCGAAUGCUGACAUAAGUAACGAUAAAGCGGGUGAAAAGCCCGCUCGCCGGAAGACCAAGGGUUCCUGUCCAACGUUAAUCGGGGCAGGGUGAGUCGACCCCUAAGGCGAGGCCGAAAGGCGUAGUCGAUGGGAAACAGGUUAAUAUUCCUGUACUUGGUGUUACUGCGAAGGGGGGACGGAGAAGGCUAUGUUGGCCGGGCGACGGUUGUCCCGGUUUAAGCGUGUAGGCUGGUUUUCCAGGCAAAUCCGGAAAAUCAAGGCUGAGGCGUGAUGACGAGGCACUACGGUGCUGAAGCAACAAAUGCCCUGCUUCCAGGAAAAGCCUCUAAGCAUCAGGUAACAUCAAAUCGUACCCCAAACCGACACAGGUGGUCAGGUAGAGAAUACCAAGGCGCUUGAGAGAACUCGGGUGAAGGAACUAGGCAAAAUGGUGCCGUAACUUCGGGAGAAGGCACGCUGAUAUGUAGGUGARGUCCCUYGCGGAUGGAGCUGAAAUCAGUCGAAGAUACCAGCUGGCUGCAACUGUUUAUUAAAAACACAGCACUGUGCAAACACGAAAGUGGACGUAUACGGUGUGACGCCUGCCCGGUGCCGGAAGGUUAAUUGAUGGGGUCAGCGCAAGCGAAGCUCUUGAUCGAAGCCCCGGUAAACGGCGGCCGUAACUAUAACGGUCCUAAGGUAGCGAAAUUCCUUGUCGGGUAAGUUCCGACCUGCACGAAUGGCGUAAUGAUGGCCAGGCUGUCUCCACCCGAGACUCAGUGAAAUUGAACUCGCUGUGAAGAUGCAGUGUACCCGCGGCAAGACGGAAAGACCCCGUGAACCUUUACUAUAGCUUGACACUGAACAUUGAGCCUUGAUGUGUAGGAUAGGUGGGAGGCUUGGAAGUGUGGACGCCAGUCUGCAUGGAGCCGACCUUGAAAUACCACCCUUUAAUGUUUGAUGUUCUAACGUUGACCCGUAAUCCGGGUUGCGGACAGUGUCUGGUGGGUAGUUUGACUGGGGCGGUCUCCUCCUAAAGAGUAACGGAGGAGCACGAAGGUUGGCUAAUCCUGGUCGGACAUCAGGAGGUUAGUGCAAUGGCAUAAGCCAGCUUGACUGCGAGCGUGACGGCGCGAGCAGGUGCGAAAGCAGGUCAUAGUGAUCCGGUGGUUCUGAAUGGAAGGGCCAUCGCUCAACGGAUAAAAGGUACUCCGGGGAUAACAGGCUGAUACCGCCCAAGAGUUCAUAUCGACGGCGGUGUUUGGCACCUCGAUGUCGGCUCAUCACAUCCUGGGGCUGAAGUAGGUCCCAAGGGUAUGGCUGUUCGCCAUUUAAAGUGGUACGCGAGCUGGGUUUAGAACGUCGUGAGACAGUUCGGUCCCUAUCUGCCGUGGGCGCUGGAGAACUGAGGGGGGCUGCUCCUAGUACGAGAGGACCGGAGUGGACGCAUCACUGGUGUUCGGGUUGUCAUGCCAAUGGCACUGCCCGGUAGCUAAAUGCGGAAGAGAUAAGUGCUGAAAGCAUCUAAGCACGAAACUUGCCCCGAGAUGAGUUCUCCCUGACCCUUUAAGGGUCCUGAAGGAACGUUGAAGACGACGACGUUGAUAGGCCGGGUGUGUAAGCGCAGCGAUGCGUUGAGCUAACCGGUACUAAUGAACCGUGAGGCUUAACCUUACAACGCCGAAG
rnacentral:rRNA from 1 species